UACGUAGGGGGCAAGCGUUGUCCGGAUUCAUUGGGCGUAAAGGGUGCGUAGGCGGCGCGGUAAGUCGGGUGUGAAAUCUCGGAGCUUAACUCCGAAACUGCAUUCGAUACUGGCGUGCUUGAGGACUGGAGAGGAGACUGGAAUUCAUGGUGUAGCAGUGAAAUGCGUAGAGAUCAUGAGGAAGACCAGUGGCGAAGGCGGGUCUCUGGACAGUUCCUGACACUGAGACACGAAGGCCAGGGGAGCAAACGGG
rnacentral:rRNA from 1 species